UUAUUAGGCCCAGUAAAAGCUCAGGCCUAUUGAAAACCAUCCGAUCCACUAAUCCGACCGUACAAAAUCAGUGACCACCACCGACCUCCACCGAUCAGGUGGGGGGUAUUCGAAAUCGAAAUGUAUAAAUAUAAAGGGUUUAGCUUUUGCCGCUUCAUUUGAAUAAUGGAUUAGACUUUUUAGAUAGAUAGAUAGAGAGAGAGAGAGAGAGAGAGAGAGAGGGACUUCAGAACUGGCAAACAAAGAGUAUUUUACACACUUUCGCUCCCCGAAAGAAUGAGCUUGGAUUCGUCUCGCUCUGCGAGCUCUACGGGCCAGAAAUCCAAGCGGAGCUUCAAUUCGAUUUCUUCCAACCCUUCCAGUAGCAGUAACAAUAAGAAGCACAAGAAAAACACCAACCAGAAAACCCUAGGUGCCGUUUGGGGCGCCAAAUCUCCAUCUUCUUCUCGUUCAUCCUUCCGCAAGUCCCCGUUCUCCGAUUUCGGCAGUUAUAUGGUACAUAAGAAUAGGAAACUUCAUAAUCAGUUCGAUGCCGAAGCUUCAAGUUCUUCGCAUAGUGGAUUGAGUUGUGAGAAGCCUAUAUUUCGAGGGAUUUCUAUCUUUGUUGACGGUUUCACGAUUCCCUCCAGUCAGGAAUUGCGAGGCUAUAUGCUGAAGUACGGUGGUAGACAUGAGAAUUACUUUUCAAGAUAUCGUGUCACACAUAUUAUAUGCAGCAAUCUUCCUGACUGUAAAAUAAAGAACAUAAGGUCUUUCAGUGGAGGGCUCCCAGUGGUGAAACCCACUUGGAUUUUAGAUUCAGUUGCUGCUAAUAAACUCUUAAGUUGGUUCCCAUAUCAACUUGAUCAGCUUGUUGAUAACCAACCAAGGUUGUUGGACUUCUUUGCUCCAAAAAACAGCCUGGUCUCUAAGGAUGCUCUUCUUCAGUAUGAAAAUGAAGAUACAUCUUUUAAGGGAAGUGAACAGAAGGAUGAAAGUUUUCCUGAAGUGGGUCAACCACUGCUCCACAGUCAGCAAAUUAGUGGAGAAUCUGAUGAUAUAAUGUGUCAAAACACUGAUAUAUUGAUCGAGGAACCAACUGUAGGAAGUGAAAAGUCUUGCAAAGUGAAAAUAGUAGAGAUGAGUAAUUUUGAUGCAGAAGGUGACAGUAAUGUGAAAGAUGAGCUUCAAACUAAUUUGCAUGAACUCUCUGUUAGCAGUUACUGCUCAGACAACCAAGAUUCAAAAGGCUUACCAAGUAGAUUGUCUUAUAGGAGUCAUUCAACCAAGGAUCCUGACUUUGUGGAAAAUUAUUUCAAGAACUCAAGGCUGCACUUUAUAGGAACCUGGAGAAAUCGGUAUCGUAAACAUUUUCCCAACCUGUCUAAAGGGUUUAAGAAUAUGGAUUCUAAUCCUAAUGAUCGUACUGGUUCUCAGAAGACUUCCAUUAUUCACAUUGACAUGGACUGCUUUUUUGUCUCAGUGGUCAUCAGGAACCAUCCUGAAUUAAAGGAUAAGCCUGUAGCUGUAUGCCACUCUGACAAUCCGAAAGGCACUGCUGAAAUUUCAUCUGCUAACUACCCUGCCCGUGAUUAUGGAGUUAGGGCUGGAAUAUUUGUUAGAGAUGCCAAGGCUCUUUGUCCGCACCUUGUUAUUUUUCCAUACAAUUUUGAAGCAUAUGAGGAGGUAGCUGAUCAGUUUUAUAACAUAUUGCACAAGCAUUGCAAAAAAGUUCAGGCAGUAAGCUGUGAUGAAGCAUUCUUGGAUGUCACGGAUUUGGAAGGUGAAGAUCCUGAGCUUUUAGCCUUGACGAUUAGAAAAGAGAUUUUUGAGUCUACAGGAUGCACUGCAAGUGCUGGCAUAGCUGGGAAUAUGUUAUUAUCUCGCCUUGCCACCAGGACUGCCAAACCAGAUGGUCAGUGCUAUAUUCCUCCUAAGAAGGUGGAUGACUAUUUAUGCCAACUGCCAAUCAAGGAGCUUCCAGGAAUAGGGCAUGUUCUAGAAGAGAAGUUGAAAAAGAAAAAUGUUCAGACAUGUGGGCAAUUACGUAUUCUGUCCAAGGACACUCUUCAAAAGGAUUUUGGAAUGAAAACUGGGGAGAUGUUGUGGAAUUAUAGUAGGGGCAUAGAUAAUCGACAUGUUGGGAUGAUUCAGGAAACCAAGUCUAUAGGUGCUGAAGUGAACUGGGGCGUGAGGUUUAAGGAUUCAAAAGAUAGUCAAAACUUCCUUUCGAGCCUUUGCAAGGAGGUGUCAUUACGUUUGCAGGGAUGUGGAGUGCAGGGCCGCUCUUUUACCCUUAAGAUUAAAAAGAGACGCAAAUAUGCUGAGGAGCCUGUAAAGUAUAUGGGCUGUGGACAUUGUGAAAACUUAAGCCACUCCAUUACGGUUCCGGUUGCUACUGAUGAUGCGGAAGUGCUUCAGAGAAUAACAAAGCAGCUGUUUGGGUUUUUUAACAUAGAUGUUAAGGAAAUAAGGGGUAUUGGCUUGCAAGCUUCCAAGCUUGAGAGUGUGGAUUUCAAGCAAGGGGUUGGAAAGAACUCCUUGAAAACGUGGCUCAGAUCUACACCAGCAAAUCUGGAAAAACCCCGUAUUUCUAACUCUGUAAUUAAGGACAAGCCAGUUGGAGAUUGUCAGGGUGUUAGUGCUGAUGAAAUUCUUGGUCAGUCAUGUGAAGAUAUGGUUGGUGCAUCAUAUUCAGUGGAUAAUAAUUCUUCUAGUAGUGGACUUUGUCCAAACAAGGUUUCAGCAAUUCCACCUUUAUGCCAUCUUGAUUUUGGGGUUGUAGAGAACCUUCCUCCAGAACUCUUUUCUGAACUUAAUGAAAUUUAUGGGGGGAAGUUAGUUGAUUUUGUUCCUAGAAGUAAAGGCAAUAGUGAAAGUACCAGUUCUGCUCUAUUACACGAAGAAGGUAAGAUGAGUGAGGCAGAGGGACCUGUUUUUUAUGAUCCAGCCACCCUAAAUAAAAUAUCAAAAGAAGAGAAGGGAAAGCAAAAGCAGCAUAAAGAAAUACUUUCAAUACCAUAUGUGGGAGGAUCUCACAUUGCCUCCAAUCUCACAUCAGGUCUUGAGAGAACUGAUUUCAUGCCUUCUUCUUUAAGUCAAGUUGAUUCCACAGUGUUGCAGCAAUUGCCUGAAGAACUGAGAGUUGACAUACUUGAGCAGAUUCCUGCACACAGGAGGCAAGAGUUCUCUUCAAAUACUGCGUUGGGUUCUCUUGGAGAACAUCCUUUAGAAUCCUUAGGGAACAGGACCACUGAUAAUCAUGUGGAAUCAACUUCUGUUUUGAAAUGCAAUCUUUGGAUUGGGAGUCCUCCAAAGUGGGUUGAUGAGUUCAAGGAGAGCAAGUAUGAAAUAUUAAAGAUCCUUGCCGUUAUGUAUUAUAAAUCAGGGUUAAGUGGAAAUUUAUCUUCAAUACUAAGACAUACUGUCUUGGAUUCUCAACAUCUUCUAGAUACAGACUAUGAUGCUUCCAAUGAAGCUUUAUUCUGCAUGUGUGAACUACUAAAGCAGUAUAUUGAAUUAAAGAUUGGGCUGGAUAUUGAAGAGAUUUAUAUUUGUUUCCGCCUCCUUCAAAGGUUCAUGUCAAAGUCAAAAUUUUUUGUGCAAGUUUUUGACAAUGUCUUUCCUUAUCUUCAGGCAUCUUUCAACGAAAACUAUGGUGGAAGAUUGUACUUACCCUUGGAGUAAUGCUUUAUCAUGUGAUAUAUCUGCAUCCAAAGCGUAGAAUGAUCAGAGGGGAAGGUCGCUUUAGAUCCAGCGGGAUGUUCCAGUGGCAAAAGUCAUUAUUUCCUUGGGAAUGACCCAAGUUUGAAUCCCCCCAACCCCAAUAUAUAUUUUUUUUUCAAAAAAAAAAAAAAAAGGGAAAAAAGGAAGGCACUUUAGAGCAUCAUUUGGUUCUGUCUUGCCAUCUUUAAAGUGGAUCACCACAAAUAUAUUUAACUUACAUGAUCUGGUGAGAUGAGUCCAAAACAAGAGAUCCUUCGAUUCAUUAAUCCUGUCUUAUAUUUCAGGUGAUGCUUUUAAUAAUGUUUUAAAACUGUAAGUAAAAAUAAGAAUAAAAUUAUCCAUCUAGGAUAUGUGAAGGUCAAUGGUGGUAGCGGUUGCUGUGGCAUAUUAAUUUCUGUUAUCUGCAGUCCUAUAUUUUUCCAGCCUUAUGUUUUGUUUAUUUACCUGAUUCUUUGAAUGUUUCAGCUUAGAGAGAGUAUAUUCUUAGAGAGGCAGACUUGUUGAAGAAGGUUGUACUUGUACCAACAUGUACGAUAGUUUACAUGGAAACAUAGUAUCUCUGUUUGCGAGCUUUUGAGUAGCGUUCUGAAUCAUUGGGUUUACUCAUAUAUAAACAGGUCUUGUUACUUUUGUUAACAAGUAGCGUACAGCUAAAAAGUUGGUAUACAACUUGAUAUCCUUUUUAGUAAUAAAACUUAUGGUUGAACCAAAUGCAUAAUGCUGUUGUUGAUAACAACAGUAAAUUAUUGCAUGUGGGACAGCUUAGUGGUAAUGUUCACAUUCCUCAUUA